rnacentral:misc_RNA from 1 species
CUCAAAAGGAUUAGCUGGACUUGUCUUGAGACCUGGUUUGACUUGGUGUAAUAAAGUAUUUCGCCGAGGACACCCCUUGUGGGUGGCCAGACCUUGCCGACGUGAUGUCUGCUCUCUAACCCUGGUGGUCGGCUCGUGCCUUCCCCAACGCACUUUUAUGAUCUGGCCUCAAAUCAGGUAGGACUACCCGCCGAACUUAA